rnacentral:rRNA from 1 species
UCCGGUUGAUCCUGCCGGCGGCCACCGCUAUUGGAAUUCGAUUAAGACAUGCGAGUCGAGAGUCGUAAGGACUCGGCGGACCGCUCAGUAACACGCGGAUAGCAUGCCCUAAGGUGGAGGAUAAUCUCGGGAAACUGAGAAUAAUACUCCAUAGAUCUAAAAUGCUGGAAUGCUUCUAGGUCGAAAACUCCGGUGCCUUAGGAUUGGUCUGCGGCGUAUCAGGCUGUAGUGGGUGUAACGGACCCACUAGCCGAUGACGCGUAUGGGCCUUGAGAGAGGAAGCCCAGAGAUGGACUCUGAGACAUGAGUCUAGGCCCUACGGGGCGCAGCAGUCGCGAAAACUUCACAAUGGGGGCAACCCCGAUGAGGGAAUUCCAAGUGCUAGCACUUUUUGUGUUAGCUGUUCUUUUGUCUAAAAAACAAGAGAAGUAAGGGCCGGGUAAGACGGGUGCCAGCCGCCGCGGUAAUACCCGCGGCCCGAGUGGUGGUCGAUAUUAUUGAGCCUAAAACGUUCGUAGCCGGUCUUGUAAAUCCUUGGGUAAAUCGGCCAGCUUAACUGUCCGAAGUCCGGGGAGACUGCAAGACUUGGGAUCGGGAGAGGUCAGAGGUACUUCUGGGGUAGGGGUAAAAUCCUGUAAUCCUAGAAGGACCACCGGUGGCGAAGGCGUCUGACUAGAACGAAUUCGACGGUGAGGAACGAAGCCCUGGGGCGCAAACGGGAUUAGAUACCCCGGUAGUCCAGGGUGUAAACGCUGCGGGCUUGGUGUUGGGGGUCCUUAGUGGGCGCCCAGUGCCGGAGAGAAGUUGUUAAGCCUGCUGCUUGGGGAGUACGUCCGCAAGGAUGAAACUUAAAGGAAUUGGCGGGGGAGCACCGCAACGGGAGGAGCGUGCGGUUCAAUUGGAUUCAACGCCGGG